GUGGAUGUAGCUCAGUAGGUAGAGCGCCAGACUGUGGCUCUGGGUGUCGCGGGUUCGAGCCCCGUCAUCCACC
rnacentral:tRNA from 5 species